GGAAAGGCGCGCGAUACAGGGUGACAGCCCCGUACACAAAAAUGCACAUGCUGUGAGCUCGAUGAGUAGGGCGGGACACGUGGUAUCCUGUCUGAAUAUGGGGGGACCAUCCUCCAAGGCUAAAUACUCCUGACUGACCGAUAGUGAACCAGUACCGUGAGGGAAAGGCGAAAAGAACCCCGGCGAGGGGAGUGAAAAAGAACCUGAAACCGUGUACGUACAAGCAGUGGGAGCACGCUUAGGCGUGUGACUGCGUACCUUUUGUAUAAUGGGUCAGCGACUUAUAUUCUGUAGCAAGGUUAACCGAAUAGGGGAGCCGAAGGGAAACCGAGUCUUAACUGGGCGUUAAGUUGCAGGGUAUAGACCCGAAACCCGGUGAUCUAGCCAUGGGCAGGUUGAAGGUUGGGUAACACUAACUGGAGGACCGAACCGACUAAUGUUGAAAAAUUAGCGGAUGACUUGUGGCUGGGGGUGAAAGGCCAAUCAAACCGGGAGAUAGCUGGUUCUCCCCGAAAGCUAUUUAGGUAGCGCCUCGUGAAUUCAUCUCCGGGGGUAGAGCACUGUUUCGGCAAGGGGGUCAUCCCGACUUACCAACCCGAUGCAAACUGCGAAUACCGGAGAAUGUUAUCACGGGAGACACACGGCGGGUGCUAACGUCCGUCGUGAAGAGGGAAACAACCCAGACCGCCAGCUAAGGUCCCAAAGUCAUGGUUAAGUGGGAAACGAUGUGGGAAGGCCCAGACAGCCAGGAUGUUGGCUUAGAAGCAGCCAUCAUUUAAAGAAAGCGUAAUAGCUCACUGGUCGAGUCGGCCUGCGCGGAAGAUGUAACGGGGCUAAACCAUGCACCGAAGCUGCGGCAGCGACGCUGAUGCGUUGUUGGGUAGGGGAGCGUUCUGUAAGCCUGCGAAGGUGUGCUGUGAGGCAUGCUGGAGGUAUCAGAAGUGCGAAUGCUGACAUAAGUAACGAUAAAGCGGGUGAAAAGCCCGCUCGCCGGAAGACCAAGGGUUCCUGUCCAACGUUAAUCGGGGCAGGGUGAGUCGACCCCUAAGGCGAGGCCGAAAGGCGUAGUCGAUGGGAAACAGGUUAA
rnacentral:rRNA from 1 species